rnacentral:RNase_P_RNA from 1 species
AGCGCAGACCGCCUUAUCGCCGUUCCAAUUAGGGAGGGAGGAAAGUCCGGACACCACAGAGAAGCAUAGCGGGUAACGCCCGUCGGUCAAGAUAACUUGUUAUUGAGAUUAGGACAAGUGCAGCAGAAAGUAUGUACAGGUAAUGCUGUAGUGAAACCAGGUAAACUCUAUGCGGUGAAAUACCAAGUAUAUCAGCAUUUAAGGGCUUCUCGUCCGUUGUUGAAGGGUAGGUAGCUUGAGUUCUGCAGUAAUGCGGAAUCUAGAUAAAUGAUAAGGCCUUGAUUUAUCAGGGACAGAAUCCGGCUUAUAGGUCUGCUUUUUUU